GGAAACUCUGUGUGGGUCAUUUAGCUUGCUCCUUCUUCUCAUGAAAUCUGAUCUUCUCUAGCGUGCGGCUCCUUCAGCUCAGAAACUUGGUCUUCCCUAGCUUGCUCAUGAACUUGAUCUUCUCUAACUUGCUCCUGCUCAAUAUUAAUCUGAAAUUGUAUUUUGAGCUGCUGAAGUUUCUCUGCUCUUCUUUGUGCAGCACGCACCAAUGAAAGUUGCUUGUAAGCUUUACAUCCUUUUUUACCAGUAAAAUAAAAGUCAUACAUCUUCUGUGUUGUUCUGCGUGGCUGACCAAAUCUAGCAGACAAAGUCUCAUGCAUCUCAUCGAAUGAGUAACAGGCUUCAACGCAUUUUGACGUGGCACGAACAAUAGGUUUCAUGUCAUCACCUUUUUUAUUGUACAUCUCUUCAAGUGAAACUAGAGUCUUUUCAAUGAAGAUUUCAACUUCGGAGCUUCACAGAUUUGGUCAUAAUUAGCCUCUGGUAGAGCUUUGAUUCCAGCGAGGAGCUUCUUGUUGUUUCUGAUGUUGUUUGUGGUCAGAAGAUUAUUCCAGAUGUCACCAUCUCCCAGUGUUUUCACAAUUUUAGCGUCUAGACAGUUCUUGGUUACAUGAAUAACACGGAACAGAAUAACAUCAAGGACAAAGAUUUGUAGAAUUUGAUAUAUAAGUUGCAAGACGCUCCUGAGUGGAACUUGAGAGCACGUCUCCGACAAGACCAUUGUGAUGUGAUCACGGAAGGUUUCUUCGGUGACAAGAAAUUGUUUUGGGAUUUCUCGGUCGAGCACUUGAGCCUUAGGCUCCCGGUAGUGAAGUGGCAGAGGAAAUAUGUAUCCAGCGAGAUCUCUUGCUCAUGAUCAAUAUGGUUAACUCGGAUCAUUGUCUCCCUUGGUAUUUUCUUGCAUCUCUCAUUGUGUUCGUGGUCUUGUUUUUUUGGUCUUUAUAGCAUGUCCUGGAGAGAGGGAAGCCAGAUGAAAGGAGACGGAUCAUAGAGAAGUUGACUGGGAAAGUUGUUCAGAUGAGUCAGAACAUGUACGCGUCAAACGUUGUGGAGAAGUGUAUGGAGCAUACUGAUAGUACCGAGAGAGAGUUGCUGAUUGAAGAGAUAAUGGGCAAGUCUGAGGAAGACAAUCACUUGCUGGCGAUGGUGAAAGAUCAGUAUGCAAAUUAUGUGGUCCAGAAAGUCUUGGAGAUCAGUAAAGGGAGAUUCUGGUGCAGAGAAUGAGAAUUCAUCUCCAGAGUUCGAGGAAAUACACCUAUGGGAAACACAUAGUAGCCAGAUUCAAAUAACUAUUUGGUGAAGGUAUAUGUUUUCUCUAAGCAGUCAAUGUAGUUUGUGCUUGAACUUUUUGAUGUGUUAUUGUUGCAGAGAGUGAAGCCUCAGAAGAAGGAACAGAAGGUUAGGAGGUUUGCAAAUUUGGACAAAUGUUAUAUUUAGAAAAGUAAAUAUAUAUAUAUAUAUAUAUCUGAAAAUGCUGAUGUACAUCUUUGCUUGUAUCUAUGAAUGGAAGUGUGAUGGUUUGUGUAUAUUAUGUUUAAUGUAAACAUAAUCUGUGGUUAUAAUUGAUAUGCUCUUUCAUUAUGACUGAGAAGAACAUAGAGUAUUGUUUAGCCUUAACAAAAAGAACUCAGCUUCUUUUGUUGGCCUGGGUAUCACUUUGGCAUGAAUGGACUUCCUGCAGAAGAAACAUUUUUGGUAAUACCUUUGUGUUACCAAGAAAGGUUUGUGUUUUGUUUCCUUCUUGCCUAUGCAGUUGAGGAGAAACAUGAUCUAUGUGGAAGAAAGUGAUCCAAGAACUCAUAGUUGCUUACAUAUGGACAAUGCACAUAAAACCAGAAGUUACUUAUAAGGUGACUACUCUUUCAUUAUUUAUAAUCAUGUUUCUAUCAGAGAAUCACAGUGGCUUGUUUACUUAUCAUACUAGGAUAAGAACCCGCGCUUUAGGCGAAUUGAGUUAUAUUAUUAAAAUAUUAAACAUAUUGUAUUAACAAAUUUAAAAAAUUUAUAUGAUGGAAUUGUUUUUAUAUGUAUACAAUUUUGAUUGUUUAUAUAAUCAUCUAUAUGUUGGGUCAAUACAUUUGGAUAUUUUUUUUUAUUAAUUUAUAAAUAAAUAAAAUUUAUAUAUUUUCGAUUUUGAAAUUACACUAAUUUCAUAUUAUAAGAUUUUUACUUUCUUUUUGACAUAAAAUGGAAAAUUAAAAUAUUAAAAAUACAAUUACAAAUUGGAUUAGGCUUAUAAUUUGAAGUAUAGUUUGGUUAUGGGCCACAUUAAGACGACAUAAAAUUUUGCAGUCCAACUAUUUAUUAUACUUAAGGCUUAAAUAAAGAAAGAUGAUGAUAUUAUUUGUUUGCAACCGAUACUUUGUAUAUGAUGAAAGUUAGGUUAAUGUGAUAUAUAUCAUUAACUGCUAAAAGGAUCAUUAUUAUAUUGUGUUGUAAGGAAAAAUAUUUGAUAUAUAAGUUCGUUUGAUAAUAACAAAACAACUUAAUUUUUGUAUUACUCUUUAUAUAAAUUUCUGUAGGCAAGGAAUUAUUAAGAAUCGAACAAUAAUCUUUUUUUUUCUUUUAUUAACAAUUUUUUUUUAAUAGAUGCAUCUCUUUUCUAAUAAUUAAAAAAAAAUUCAAAUCAUUACUUUCCGAUUUAUAGCAAAAGCAUGAAAUACUUGUAAAGCAAACUUUGAUUUAAAUUGCUGAAGCAAUACGGACUAAGAGUAUAUUGUACAUUUAAAAAAAAAAGUUAUUAUGUUGGUUCACAAUAUAAAUCAACUUUGAACCAUUUAAAAAAAGUCUCAUUUAAUGAGAUCGCCGAGUAUUAAUUUAAUGAGAUUGCUGAGUAUUAAGUUUAUAUAUCAUAUACAUUUAUGUUUACGUUAAUAUAAGUUUUCUUAACAAUUGGAUUUUGGACUUACUAAUUUUUUAAUUGAUUUUUAUGUUGUCACGUAAACCAAAUUGACAUCAUAAUUAAGUGACACCUAAGCAAAACUUUUUUUAAUUAAUACAAACUUAAGACUACAACUUUUUAAAUGUUUUUCCAAUUAAUAUAUAAGAGAUUUUAGGAAAAUGAAUCACUCAAUCAAGUUGCUUUCUACUUUUGGAUUGAACCCAUGGUUCAUUUGUUGUUGAGAAAGACCAUAAUUAAUAAUGGAAUCAAUGGAUAGAUGUAAGAAGGAUUAUGAUGCAGGAGAGUGGAGAAGAUAUUUAGUGUAUGGGCUUUACGUCAGCCCAAUUAGAAAAUAAUAAUUUUCAGUGUGUUUUAAAUGUUUAAGAUAUAUAUAAAUCUCUUAAAAAUUGUAAAAGAUUAGUAGGACUAAUGAUGUCAUAAGGCUAUUUGUAAUUUCUGUAGGCUACUACUUUACUUACGCAUGUACAUAGUGGUUUAGGGAAUGAUUGUGAUGUCAUGCGUACAACAACUCAAGUUUCUAGUUCCUAAACAUCGAAAAUAUAGGGGAAAUUUCGUCAUUUUACCACUUGCCUGCCCCAUGGUUUCAUUAGAUUUCCAUGGUUGCAAAUUAUCCAACUAUUAUGGAUUUAAGUUGUCAA